GUGCAUGUGGUGUAGUGGUAACACGUUGCGGGGGCCAGGAGGUUCUUGAAACAUAAGACCAGGUAAGGGUCUUAUGGUCUCUGUAGGGUCCUAGCAGAGUCCCCAGUUCGAACCUGGGUGUUGCACU